AGAGUUUGAUCCUGGCUCAGAUUGAACGCUGGCGGCAUGCCUUACACAUGCAAGUCGAACGGCAGCGCGGGGCAACCUGGCGGCGAGUGGCGAACGGGUGAGUAAUAUAUCGGAACGUGCCCUGGAGUGGGGGAUAACGUAGCGAAAGUUACGCUAAUACCGCAUACGAUCUGAAGAUGAAAGCAGGGGACCUUCGGGCCUUGUGCUCCUGGAGCGGCCGAUAUCUGAUUAGCUAGUUGGUGGGGUAAAAGCCUACCAAGGCGACGAUCAGUAGCUGGUCUGAGAGGACGACCAGCCACACUGGAACUGAGACACGGUCCAGACUCCUACGGGAGGCAGCAGUGGGUAAUUUUGGACAAUGGGGCAACCCUGAUCCAGCAAUGCCGCGUGAGUGAAGAAGGCCUUCGGGUUGUAAAGCUCUUUUGUCAGGGAAGAAAAGGUCGUGGCUAAUAUCCACGACUGCUGACGGUACCUGAAGAAUAAGCACCGGCUAACUACGUA
rnacentral:rRNA from 1 species